GAUGAACGCUGGCGGCGUGCCUAAUACAUGCAAGUCGAGCGAACGGACGAGAAGCUUGCUUCUCUGAUGUUAGCGGCGGACGGGUGAGUAACACGUGGAUAACCUACCUAUAAGACUGGGAUAACUUCGGGAAACCGGAGCUAAUACCGGAUAAUAUUUUGAACCGCAUGGUUCAAAAGUGAAAGACGGUCUUGCUGUCACUUAUAGAUGGAUCCGCGCUGCAUUAGCUAGUUGGUAAGGUAACGGCUUACCAAGGCAACGAUGCAUAGCCGACCUGAGAGGGUGAUCGGCCACAUGGGAACUGAGACACGGUCCAGACUCCUACGGGAGGCAGCAGUAGGGAAUCUUCCGCAAUGGGCGAAAGCCUGACGGAGCAACGCCGCGUGAGUGAUGAAGGUCUUCGGAUCGUAAAACUCUGUUAUUAGGGAAGAACAGAUGUGUAAGUAACUGUGCACAUCUUGACGGUACCUAAUCAGAAAGCCACGGCUAACUACGUG
rnacentral:rRNA from 1 species